GCGGGGGCGGGCGUGCUAUACAUGCAGUCGAGCGAACAGAUGAGAAGCUUGCUUCUCUGAUGUUAGCGGCGGACGGGUGAGUAACACGUGGGUAACCUACCUAUAAGACUGGGAUAACUCCGGGAAACCGGGGCUAAUACCGGAUAAUAUUUUGAACCGCAUGGUUCAAUAGUGAAAGACGGUUUCGGCUGUCACUUAUAGAUGGACCCGCGCCGUAUUAGCUAGUUGGUAAGGUAACGGCUUACCAAGGCGACGAUACGUAGCCGACCUGAGAGGGUGAUCGGCCACACUGGAACUGAGACACGGUCCAGACUCCUACGGGAGGCAGCAGUAGGGAAUCUUCCGCAAUGGGCGAAAGCCUGACGGAGCAACGCCGCGUGAGUGAUGAAGGUCUUCGGAUCGUAAAACUCUGUUGUUAGGGAAGAACAAAUUUGUUAGUAACUGAACAAGUCUUGACGGUACCUAACCAGAAAGCCACGGCUAACUACGUGCCAGCAGCCGCGGUAAUACGUAGGUGGCAAGCGUUAUCCGGAAUUAUUGGGCGUAAAGCGCGCGUAGGCGGUUUCUUAAGUCUGAUGUGAAAGCCCACGGCUCAACCGUGGAGGGUCAUUGGAAACUGGGAAACUUGAGUGCAGAAGAGGAGAGUGGAAUUCCAUGUGUAGCGGUGAAAUGCGCAGAGAUAUGGAGGAACACCAGUGGCGAAGGCGGCUCUCUGGUCUGUAACUGACGCUGAUGUGCGAAAGCGUGGGGAUCAAACAGGAUUAGAUACCCUGGUAGUCCACGCCGUAAACGAUGAGUGCUAAGUGUUAGGGGGUUUCCGCCCCUUAGUGCUGCAGCUAACGCAUUAAGCACUCCGCCUGGGGAGUACGACCGCAAGGUUGAAACUCAAAGGAAUUGACGGGGACCCGCACAAGCGGUGGAGCAUGUGGUUUAAUUCGAAGCAACGCGAAGAACCUUACCAAAUCUUGACAUCCUUUGACCGCUCUAGAGAUAGAGUCUUCCCCUUCGGGGGACAAAGUGACAGGUGGUGCAUGGUUGUCGUCAGCUCGUGUCGUGAGAUGUUGGGUUAAGUCCCGCAACGAGCGCAACCCUUAAGCUUAGUUGCCAUCAUUAAGUUGGGCACUCUAGGUUGACUGCCGGUGACAAACCGGAGGAAGGUGGGGAUGACGUCAAAUCAUCAUGCCCCUUAUGAUUUGGGCUACACACGUGCUACAAUGGAUAAUACAAAGGGCAGCGAAUCCGCGAGGCCAAGCAAAUCCCAUAAAAUUAUUCUCAGUUCGGAUUGUAGUCUGCAACUCGACUACAUGAAGCUGGAAUCGCUAGUAAUCGUAGAUCAGCAUGCUACGGUGAAUACGUUCCCGGGUCUUGUACACACCGCCCGUCACACCACGAGAGUUUGUAACACCCGAAGCCGGUGGAGUAACCUUUUAGGAGCUAGCGUCGAACGGCCCCAUA
rnacentral:rRNA from 1 species